rnacentral:siRNA from 1 species
CGUCCGAGCUCCAGCUAUCCUGA